UUUCAACUGGGCUCUCAGGAGAAGCAAAG
rnacentral:piRNA from 1 species